GAUGAACGCUAGCGGCAGGCUUAAUACAUGCAAGUCGAGGGGCAGCACAGGUAGCAAUACUGGGUGGCGACCGGCAAACGGGUGCGGAACACGUACACAACUUACCUUCUGGUGGGGGAUAGCCUCUGGAAACGGAGAUUAAUACCCCAUAUUAUAUAUGAGCUGCAUGGUUUGUAUAUUAAAGAUUUAUUGCCGGAAGAUGGGUGUGCGUAUGAUUAGGUAGUUGGCGGGGUAACGGCCCACCAAGCCGACGAUCAUUAACUGGUGUGAGAGAACGACCAGUCACACGGGAACUGAGACACGGGCCCGACUCCUACGGGAGGCAGCAGUAAGGAAUAUUGGUCAAUGGACGGAAGUCUGAACCAGCCAUGCCGCGUGGAGGAUGAAGGUCCUCUGGAUUGUAAACUUCUUUUAUAGGGGGCGAAAAAAGGGAAUUCUUUCUCGUCUGACGGUACCCUAUGAAUAAGCACCGGCUAACUCCGUGCCAGCCGCCGCCGUAAUAC
rnacentral:rRNA from 1 species